rnacentral:rRNA from 1 species
GGGCUGUUGCUGGCUCCUUGCAUGUGCACGCCUGUUCAUUUAUUUCUCCUCUGUGCACCAGCUGUAGGUCUAGGCCUAUGUUUUUUUUUACACUCUCUCAAAUGUGUUUGGAAUGUCAUAUGCGAAUAUAUAAUAUAUACAACUUUCAGCAACGGAUCUCUUGGCUCUCGCAUCGAUGAAGAACGCAGCGAAAUGCGAUAAGUAAUGUGAAUUGCAGAAUUCAGUGAAUCAUCGAAUCUUUGAACGCAUCUUGCGCUCCUUGGUAUUCUGAGGAGCAUGCCUGUUUGAGUGUCAUAAAGUUCUCAAUCCAUGCCAUGGUAUGGAUUGGAUGGUUGGGAUUUGCAGGCUUUGAAAAAAAGGUCUGCUUUCCUGAAACAAAUUAGUGGCGUCCGAGCACAAGGGGACCACUACAGGUUGUAUUUAUGCCUCCUGUAAAACCCCCAUUGCCCAAGCUGCUUCAUAUCUCAUGACCCAUUUGACCUCAAAUCAGGUAGGACUACCCGCUGAACUUAAGCAUAUCAAUAAGCGGAGGAAAAGAAACUAACAAGGAUUCCCCUAGUAACUGCGAGUGAAGCGGGAAGAGCUCAAAUUUGAAAUCUGGCGGCUGUUUGACCGUCCGAGUUGUAAUCUAGAGAAGUGCUACCCGUGCUGGACCGUGUACAAGUCUCCUGGAAUGGGGCAUCAUAGAGGGUGAGAAUCCCGUCUUUGACACGGACUGCCAGUGCGCCGUGGGUGUGCUCUCGAAGAGUCGAGUUGUUUGGGAAUGCAGCUCAAAAUGGGUGGUAAAUGCCAUCUAAAGCUAAAUAUUGGCGAGAGACCGAUAGCGAACAAGUACCGUGAGGGAAAGAUGAAAAGAACUUUGGAAAGAGAGUUAAACAGUACGUGAAAUUGCUGAAAGGGAAACGCUUGGAGUCAGUCGCGUUGGCCAGGAAUCAGCCCUGCUUCUGCUUGGUGUACUUUCUGGUCUCCAACGGGUCAGCAUCAAUCUUGACCGCCGGACAAAGUCUUUGGGAAUGUGGCAUCUUCUGGAUGUGUUAUAGCCCAUGGUCGCAUACGGCGGCUGGGAUUGAGGAACUCAGCAUGGCCCCGCAAGGGACAAUUGGGUCCUUGGACCACAUUCGUGCUUAGGAUGCUGGCGUAAUGGCUUCAAUCGACCCGUCUUGAAACACGGACCAAGGAGUCUAACAUGCCUGCGAGUGUUUGGGUGGAAAAACCCAUGCGCGCAAUGAAAGUGAAAGUUGAGACCUCUGUCAAAGGAGAGCAUUGACGCCCAGACCAGACCUUCUGCGACGGAUCUGCGGUAGAGCAUGUGUGUUGGGACCCGAAAGAUGGUGAACUAUGCCUGAAUAGGGUGAAGCCAGAGGAAACUCUGGUGGAGGCUCGUAGCGAUUCUGACGUGCAAAUCGAUCGUCAAAUUUGGGUAUAGGGGCGAAAGACUAAUCGAACCAUCUAGUAGCUGGUUCCUGCCGAAGUUUCCCUCAGGAUAGCNGANACUCGAAUCAAAUUUAUGUGGUAAAGCGANUGAUUAGAGGCCUUGGGGUUGAAACAACCUUAACCUAUUCUCAAACUUUAAAU